ACCCAGAUGACGAGUCCCAAAUAGGACGAAACGCGCGUCCUGGAU
rfam:Schistosoma haematobium scaffold575_46, whole genome shotgun sequence.